rnacentral:tRNA from 1 species
GGGGCUGUAGCUUAGUGAUAGAGCCCUUGCCUCUCACGGCAAGGCACAAGGUUCAAUCCUCAGCACCA